UUCGCCCUGCUCGGUGCGUGGAAAUGGACACUUUUAAACCCACAUUUUUCAAACGGGACGCUGGACUCGUGGUGUGGAUCGCAGACCUCCCGGCCUUCGGGUUGGAAGAAGGGAGCGUGAAGCAUCGCGGAGGCGACCCACCUGCCAUCUCGUGCAGGUUUUAAUUGGGUCCCCACGGCCAGAGCGGGGCACCU
rnacentral:other from 1 species